UGACACCCAACCGAGUUCAACCUAACAUCCCCACCAGCACUCACGUAAGGCUUAUUAAACAUAAGCCACCCAUACAGCAUACCAAUCGAUCCAUACAAAACCAAGCAGCACAAAAAGAACACAAACCCAGGCGGCAGAAAUCUGUGAUGAAGCAAGUGCUGUUGAUACUCCCAUCUCCACCGAAACAAGCACUUCAAGUUUACGUCCCAGCAGGAGCUCACCGCAGUUGUACUAUUAGUACAACCGGCACCAGCACCUACACCUCCUGCUCCAAUAGCUCCAGGAACCACCAUGAUUACCGAUGAUUACACGCACAAACCUCAAAAGGAGAGAAUUUUCCCCUUGAGUAGUAGCAUUUGCUUCCCUUUCUUGGAAUUUAAAUGAUUUUGGCCUCCUUUUCUUUUACUUGCG
rnacentral:misc_RNA from 1 species